CAUUUUUAUCGUACUAUGUUUGCCAAGUUUUUGUUUUUGUUUUGUUUUAACGUGUUUGUGAGUUUUCUAACAUUUUUCCCUUCCUUAAUGGUGUUUUAUUUUGUCUGCAGAAAAGAUGCAGGGUAUCACGUGCAUGGAUGCUGCCCUGGACGCAAUGCGUCCACUUGGAUUUAGGACACAACUGAUUCUACGAACGGUUAAUGAGCUUCUCGAUGUGUAUGGUGGAAAUCAAGGAUGGUGCUUUAUUGAAGAGGCCUAUUACAAGCUCCUAAUGGAGGCCAGUCGCUGCCAUUGUUUUUACCGUUAAGAAGAAAUUUAGUCACUCCGGUUCCGAUAAGCCUGCUCCAGUUCUCGGUCCCCCUGGCGCCGUUGACCAAAAAUACUGCAGUGCACUCAAAACCGCAAUGCAAUUCUUCGAUGUUUAGAAAUCUGGGAGGUUAGUUGACAGUAAAAUAUCUUGGAGAGGGAAUUCGGCUCUUAAGGAUGGGAGCCAAGCGAAGUUGGAUCUAUCAAAAGGGAUGUAUGAUGCUAGGGAUAACAUGAAGUUUGGUUUUCCGAUGGCUUUUAUGGCCACAGUGCUGUCUUGGUCCAUUCUGGAAUAUGGAGAUCAAAUGGAUCACGUUGGCCAGUUAGACGCCGCUCAGGAUUCGCUCAAGUGGAUCACUGAUUUUCUCAUCAAUGCUCACCCUUCUGAGAAUGUUCUUUAUAUUCAGGUUAUUGUGUUUUUCAGCUUUCGUUUCAUGCCUCAUUUCUGUGCAAGUUGGCCAAUGUGCAUCUGUGCAUGCAUUAGUUUAUUAUCUUUUGUCUUCUUACAAGGACAUGGACACUCUUACUACUUAAUGAUUAUUGGAAUGUUCUUUAUGGUUAAACUGUAGGAUUUGACUUUGAUCCAUCUAUAGUGCAAGAGAUUUUACACAAUCAGUGAAUUAUAUGAUGCCACCUGUUUGAAAAACAAUUAAAUGCUUUAGCAAGCAGUGUAAAGUAUUUAUUAGUUACGACAAUUAUGCAGCGUACUGUGGUUUCCUUACAGUGAAA